rnacentral:snRNA from 1 species
GCACUCUUGUUUCGCUUCAGGUCGUAUAAAUCUUUUGCCUUUUACUAAUGAUUUUCAUGGAGAGGAAUAAUAAGUGAGUAUUUCAAUUUUUUGAUUCCCUUGUCAUUGGUGGCGU